rnacentral:lncRNA from 1 species
UUUUCACUUGUCGUAUCUUGAGGCUAUCUCAUUAGACGCACAGAAAUGUAGAAUUACUCAAUUUCUCUGGUAGACUUGCUCCGUUGUCUCAAUGAACAUUUAUUUUUGACCAUGUUUCUUACUCCAGGAUAUACUUUGCGCACACACACACACACACACCAAACGACACCCCCACACUACACACCCAACACACACACACCAAACCACACCCCACUACACACCCAACACACACACACCAAACCACACCCCCACACUACACACCCAACACACACACACCAAACCACACCCCCACACUACAUACCCAACACACCAAACCAUACCCCCACACUACACACCCAGCACCCCCAUAGCCACACUCCACACACACCCCACACCACACACCCACAUACACACACUCCACACACCCCCACCCCCUCACACACUACACACCCAACACCCACAUAUGCACACUCCACACACCCCACUACACACCCAACACCCACAUAUGCACACUCCACACACCCCCUCACACCUCCACACUACACACCCAACACACACACUCCACACACCCCACUACACACCCAACACCCACAUAUGCACACUCCACACACCCCCUCACACCUCCACACUACACACCCAACACACACACUCCACACACCCCACUACACACCCAACACCCACAUAUGCACACUCCACACACCCCCUCACACCUCCACACUACACACCCAACCCAGCCACAUACACACUCCACACACACCCACACUAUACACCCCCACACUACACACCCACAUGCGCACACUCCACACUCCACCCACACCCCCACACUGCACACACUCAGCACACCCACAUACACACACUCCACACACACCCAAACCCACACCAGCCUCUAGGUGCCUCGACCUCUCCAGCCCUCACGUUCGGCGAGCGUCUCUUGUAAGCAGCACAUGGUUUAGCCAUAUCCCAUUGACAAUGUCUGUCCUUCAACGGAUGUAUCUACCCUCGUCAUACUUACAGCACCUGUAGAUGUAUCGGGACCUAAAUCUACUGUUUAUUCCCUAGUUUCUAUUCAUCCCACCUGUUCUGCAUUCCUUUUUCUCUCAUGUUUUGCCUUCUUUUGGAUCUACUCUGUGUGUUUUAAACGUCCUGUGUGUGUGCCGUCCUGCCUGCCCUCCUGUCUCUCCACCAGUGUUAGCUCUGCAUUCCUCUCCAACCUCACCGUCCAAUAUAGUGAGAACUACCACCACUCCCCAGGGCGC